rnacentral:rRNA from 1 species
AUGGUUUUUCCUACGAUCAACAUACCCCCUCCAAUGCACUGUGUUCAAAUUUGCACUUUUCCUGGCUCAUUAACUAUAUUUACUCCAUUGUGUGCAUUUUUAGGCAUUAAUGCGCACAAUUUAAAUUCAGACAAUUGGUGCAUGAAGAAGUGCACAAAAAUGGUCUGGAAAACCCUACUCAUGGUAUUUAGUAAAUUUUCAUGCCUUUUACGAAGAAUGGCCAGAAAUUUCAAGCAUACAUGUGGCAAGAGUCAACCACAAACGUGUCGGUUAUUGGUUUUCAACAAUAGAAAAAUGACAAACAUGCUAGAAAUAGAUGACGCCUCGCAUGGUGAUGAAGACAUCAAUACCAUUGUUACACCCACAACCCCUGCUACUAUACAUACUGGACCGAUUACAAGAGCUCACGCACGCCAAUUAAAUUACCAGGUACUUUUGUUUCUUGGUAAUGAUUCUAAUGUUCAUCAGAAUAUGAUGCUGCCUAAAUUGGAUAUGUUUGUUUUGCUUUAA